rnacentral:snoRNA from 1 species
ACAGCAUACUGUUAAAGCCUGGCAGAGGCCAGCAUGGCCGGUGAACCCGGGGUGUUGGAGGUGUGCCACAGCAAUGCAGGACUCUCGCUGACCCCACGAGAGCUCCACUCUGUGACUAGUGCUGAUAGUGUCUACUGUUACAGCA